rnacentral:rRNA from 1 species
CGGCGUCGAGCGGCGGACGGGUGAGUAAUGCCUGGGAAAUUGCCCUGAUGUGGGGGAUAACCAUUGGAAACGAUGGCUAAUACCGCAUAAUAGCUUCGGCUCAAAGAGGGGGACCUUCGGGCCUCUCGCGUCAGGAUAUGCCCAGGUGGGAUUAGCUAGUUGGUGAGGUAAGGGCUCACCAAGGCGACGAUCCCUAGCUGGUCUGAGAGGAUGAUCAGCCACACUGGAACUGAGACACGGUCCAGACUCCUACGGGAGGCAGCAGUGGGGAAUAUUGCACAAUGGGCGCAAGCCUGAUGCAGCCAUGCCGCGUGUAUGAAGAAGGCCUUCGGGUUGUAAAGUACUUUCAGCAGUGAGGAAGGUGGAUGCGUUAAUAGCGUAUUCAUUUGACGUUAGCUGCAGAAGAAGCACCGGCUAACUCCGUGCCAGCAGCCGCGGUAAUACGGAGGGUGCGAGCGUUAAUCGGAAUUACUGGGCGUAAAGCGCAUGCAGGUGGUUUGUUAAGUCAGAUGUGAAAGCCCGGGGCUCAACCUCGGAAUUGCAUUUGAAACUGGCAGACUAGAGUACUGUAGAGGGGGGUAGAAUUUCAGGUGUAGCGGUGAAAUGCGUAGAGAUCUGAAGGAAUACCGGUGGCGAAGGCGGCCCCCUGGACAGAUACUGACACUCAGAUGCGAAAGCGUGGGGAGCAAACAGGAUUAGAUACCCUGGUAGUCCACGCCGUAAACGAUGUCUACUUGGAGGUUGUGGCCUUGAGCCGUGGCUUUCGGAGCUAACGCGUUAAGUAGACCGCCUGGGGAGUACGGUCGCAAGAUUAAAACUCAAAUGAAUUGACGGGGGCCCGCACAAGCGGUGGAGCAUGUGGUUUAAUUCGAUGCAACGCGAAGAACCUUACCUACUCUUGACAUCCAGAGAAGCCAGCAGAGAUGCAGGUGUGCCUUCGGGAGCUCUGAGACAGGUGCUGCAUGGCUGUCGUCACCUCCUGUUGUGAAAUGUUGGGUUAAGUUCC